GACGAACCGAGCGAACGUUGUUCGGAAUCACUGGGCUUAAAGGGCGCGUAGGCGGGCACUCAAGUCUGUGGUGAAAUCCGGCAGCUUAACUGUCGAACUGCCGUGGAUACUGGGUGUCUCGAGGGAGGUAGGGGCGUGCGGAACUGAUGGUGGAGCGGUGAAAUGCGUUGAUAUCAUCAGGAACACCAGUGGCGAAGGCGGCUCACUGGCCCGGUACUGACGCUGAGAUGCGAAAGCGUGGGGAGCAAACAGG
rnacentral:rRNA from 1 species